AGGGCCCUACCAAGAAAUAAACCCUUAUGGAAGCACUGUACACACAUAGCAAGUGCAAUUUCAGUAUUUGCUAAAUAAAUAAAAAGGACGUUUGAGAAGAUUAAGUAAGAAAAUGUGUACGAAGACAAGUGGCUAGAGUGGAGUCAGUGAUUAAAAUUUGUACCGCCAAUCCUGCACUCCUGCCCCCACCUCCAGCCUGCCCCAGGCCUGGGCACAUGGUACGUGCAGGGUGUGUACUUAUUGGUGACAGUCCAAUCAACUCUAAGAAAUAAGUGUUACUCUCUGGCCCUCAAGGUUUAUAUUCUUUCUCUGCAAGGGGAAGCUGGGGCUGAACUUGAGAGCCUUGUGAAGGGAGAUGUAAUUUUCCUUAUUUACUAACAUUUACUUGGACUGGUGUCUGGGACACCCAAAAUAUGCUAUGAAUCAGUCAGAGGAUAACAAGAUCUGCAGUCCUGUACAGAUUACUCACUAAUUUGACAUUUGGGGAUUUUUGCAAAAUGUUAGGGAACAUUUGACAAGCUGCAAAUUGCUCUCUCUAUAAAAUGCGUUUGAAUCUGAGGAUGGGCAGCCCUCUCCACUGAUGUGGUUCCAUUUGUUCCUAGCACCAGCUGUUGCAUCCUGACAAGGUGGCUCCUUUUUAUUUUCUCCCCCUGAAGUAGAAAGUGGUGGAAGUUUGCCCUGAAAACACAAUAACUAAAAUUCAUUGAGCACCUACUAUGGGUCGGGUGGCUUGACAUUAUUUGUUUCAUGUCAUCUUCACAAUCAUCCUCUAAGGUAUGUAUCAUUAGCCUCUCUAUUUUUCAGCAAGGAGACUGGCGUUCAGAGAGGUUAAGCACCUUGUUUAAGGCCACACAGUUCUGAAUUUCCUAAGCUAGAAUUUGAACCAGUGUCUACUUAACCCAACAUCUGGAUUCCAAUCCAGCAGGCCGUCUUCCUCCACCAGAGCAUCAUCACAUUCUGACUUGGGUCUCCCACAACUGGAGGGGCAGAGGAGAGGAAAAUUUCUUGGUAUUUGGGGCCUCCCCAAAGGAACAGUAAGUUUCUCAAGUACGCUCGAUCUUGACUCCCAGCUGCUUGGUCGUGUUGUGGAUUUGGUAAGUGCUUAAUAGGUGCUCAUGGAAAUGAAAAUCCAUUCCCGUG
rnacentral:lncRNA from 1 species